AUGCACAUUUUUGUAAAAACCCUAAUGGGGAAGACCAUCACUCUUGAGGAUGAACCCUCAGAUACAAUAGAAAAUGUAAAAGCCAAGAUCCAGGAUAAAGAAGGAAUUUCUCCUGAUCAACAGAGACUGAUCUUUGCUGGCAAAAAACUGGAAGAUGGACCUACUUUGUUUGACUACAACAUUCAAAAGGAGUCUACUCUUCAUCUUGUGUAGAGACUUCGUAGCGGUACUAAGAAGAAGAAGAAGAAGUCUUACACUACUCCCAAGAAAAAUAAGCAUAAGAAAAAGAAGGUUAAGCUGGCUGUCCUAAAAUACUGUAAGAUGGACGAGAAUGGCAAAAUUAGUUACCUUCGUUGGGAGUGCCCUUAACAUGAAUGUGGUACUGGAGUUUUUAUGGCCAGACACUUUGAUAAACAUUAUUGUAGCAAGUGUUGUCUGACCUAUUGCUUCAACAAACCAGAAGACAUGUAA